rnacentral:misc_RNA from 1 species
GUGAAUCAUCGAAUUUUUGAACGCAAAUUGCACUCUCUGGUAUUCCGGAGAGUAUGCCUGUUUGAGGGUAAGUUUAAAUAAAAAUCGGUGUGGUUGCUGUGUUUCGUGGUGAUGCACCGGCCUCGGGUCGUCUUGCAUUCGGUUAAGUGAGGUAAAAUUUCGUAUGAUUCUUUAGAACGUAUUAAAAUGAUUUUACGUAUGUUUGUGAUAUCGCAUACUAGGUGUGGUGCUUCUAAUGUUUCGCGGUUAUAAUUUUUUAUAAAAAUGAUGUAAA